rnacentral:lncRNA from 1 species
UAAGUGUUACUUGCCCAAAAAACCAUCACUUUUAAGUUUUAAUACAACAAAUGGAGCGGGGAGGGAAAAGAGAGAAGUGGUUGCAGAGAAAGACAGACAGAGAAGAAAUGAACGUAGAGAAAGAGAGAAGGGGGGUGACCACCAAUCUCUCAUAGAAUAGCACUGAAGAGCAGGCACAUGCACGUGCAGAGGUUUUUCAGGUGGUGUUGUCUUUUGAAGUAGAUGGUGAACCUGUUUGUAAAGAAAAUCAGGUGGAUGAGCUGUGUAGAACUCAGACGGUGCUGUCUUUUUUGAAGCUGAUAGAUUGUUGAAUCAGGUUUAGGGAACAACCCUAAUUUUUUUUACCUUUUUUUUUUUUUUGCCUUAAUGUAAUAUUCUUUGAGCUAUGUUACAUUUGGG